UGUAAGGUUGCUCUAGAAAUU
ensembl:piRNA 21ur-3703 ncRNA